UGCGCAGGCGGGAUAGUAAGUCAGUGGUGAAAGCCUACAGCUCAACUGUAGAACUGCCAUUGAUACUGCUAUUCUUGAGUACAGUUGAAGUGGGCGGAAUGUGUUGUGUAGCGGUGAAAUGCAUAGAUAUGACACAGAACUCCGAUCGCGAAGGCAGCUCGCUAAACUGUAACUGACGCUCAUGCACGAAAGCGUGGGGAGCGAACAGGAUUAGAUACCCUGGUAGUCC
rnacentral:rRNA from 1 species